UGGACCCACCUCCUUAUACAGUCCAUUCAAGGAUUUCCUAUCCCUGCCCCCCCGCCCCAUUGGCCAUGGGAACUAGAUGUGAAGAUAAGGAAGCAAGGCCAUCUCUGCUUGUUCUCCUCCCUGCAAAAAGUACAUCUGGUUGGCAAGUGCUCCUCACUCCUUCACUGGCUCAUCAGCAGCUCUGGAUCCCCUUGCCGUCACUCUCCAGAACCUGCAGCUGCACAUAGAGAAGACCUACCAGCUGCCAGCAGAGAUAGAGCCGCAAGGAUGCCACCACCACCAUUUGCAGGUGCAUGCCACAUGCAUUGCCUUCAACAGCAUCAGA